rnacentral:rRNA from 1 species
GGACGGUGCGAGCGUUGUCCGGAAUCACUGGGCGUAAAGGGCGCGUAGGCGGCCUGAUAAGUAGGGGGUGAAAUCCUGCGGCUUAACCGCAGGGCUGCCUUCUAAACUGUCGGGCUAGAGCACGGUAGAGGCAGAUGGAAUUCCCGGUGUAGCGGUGGAAUGCGUAGAGAUCGGGAAGAACAUCAGUGGCGAAGGCGGUCUGCUGGGCCGUUGCUGACGCUGAGGCGCGACAGCGUGGGGAGCAAACAGGAUUAGAUACCCUGGUAGUCCACGCCGUAAACGAUGGGCACUAGGCGUCGGGGGGAGCGACCCUCCCGGUGCCGUCGCUAACGCAGUAAGUGCCCCGCCUGGGGAGUACGGCCGCAAGGCUG